GAUGAACGCUGGCGGCGUGCCUAAUACAUGCAAGUCGAGCGAACGGACGAGAAGCUUGCUUCUCUGAUGUUAGCGGCGGACGGGUGAGUAACACGUGGAUAACCUACCUAUAAGACUGGGAUAACUUCGGGAAACCGGAGCUAAUACCGGAUAAUAUUUUGAACCGCAUGGUUCAAAAGUGAAAGACGGUCUUGCUGUCACUUAUAGAUGGAUCCGCGCUGCAUUAGCUAGUUGGUAAGGUAACGGCUUACCAAGGCAACGAUGCAUAGCCGACCUGAGAGGGUGAUCGGCCACACUGGAACUGAGACACGGUCCAGACUCCUACGGGAGGCAGCAGUAGGGAAUCUUCCGCAAUGGGCGAAAGCCUGACGGAGCAACGCCGCGUGAGUGAUGAAGGUCUUCGGAUCGUAAAACUCUGUUAUUAGGGAAGAACAUAUGUGUAAGUAACUGUGCACAUCUUGACGGUACCUAAUCAGAAAGCCACGGCUAACUACGUGCCAGCAGCCGCGGUAAUACGUAGGUGGCAAGCGUUAUCCGGAAUUAUUGGGCGUAAAGCGCGCGUAGGCGGUUUUUUAAGUCUGAUGUGAAAGCCCACGGCUCAACCGUGGAGGGUCAUUGGAAACUGGAAAACUUGAGUGCAGAAGAGGAAAGUGGAAUUCCAUGUGUAGCGGUGAAAUGCGCAGAGAUAUGGAGGAACACCAGUGGCGAAGGCGACUUUCUGGUCUGUAACUGACGCUGAUGUGCGAAAGCGUGGGGAUCAAACAGGAUUAGAUACCCUGGUAGUCCACGCCGUAAACGAUGAGUGCUAAGUGUUAGGGGGUUUCCGCCCCUUAGUGCUGCAGCUAACGCAUUAAGCACUCCGCCUGGGGAGUACGACCGCAAGGUUGAAACUCAAAGGAAUUGACGGGGACCCGCACAAGCGGUGGAGCAUGUGGUUUAAUUCGAAGCAACGCGAAGAACCUUACCAAAUCUUGACAUCCUUUGACAACUCUAGAGAUAGAGCCUUCCCCUUCGGGGGACAAAGUGACAGGUGGUGCAUGGUUGUCGUCAGCUCGUGUCGUGAGGUGUUGGGUUAAGUCCCGCAACGAGCGCAACCCUUAAGCUUAGUUGCCAUCAUUAAGUUGGGCACUCUAAGUUGACUGCCGGUGACAAACCGGAGGAAGGUGGGGAUGACGUCAAAUCAUCAUGCCCCUUAUGAUUUGGGCUACACACGUGCUACAAUGGACAAUACAAAGGGCAGCGAAACCGCGAGGUCAAGCAAAUCCCAUAAAGUUGUUCUCAGUCCGGAUUGUAGUCUGCAACUCGACUACAUGAAGCUGGAAUCGCUAGUAAUCGUAGAUCAGCAUGCUACGGUGAAUACGUUCCCGGGUCU
rnacentral:rRNA from 1 species